UCUCCGUUGGUGAACCAGCGGAGGGAUCAUUACAGAGUUGCAAAACUCCCAACCAUUGUGAACCUACCUCACCGUUGCUUCGGCGGGUGGCACGCUAACCCCGCGCCGCGCCGGCCCUCUCUCGGGGGCCUGGCAACCCGUCAGAAGCCUUAAACUCUCUGUAUUUAUUGGCCUCUCUGAGUAACUUAUACAAUAAGUCAAAACUUUCAACAACGGAUCUCUUGGUUCUG
rnacentral:misc_RNA from 1 species